CGAACGGCAGCACGGAGCUUGCUCUGGUGGCGAGUGGCGAACGGGUGAGUAAUAUAUCGGAACGUACCCUAGAGUGGGGGAUAACGUAGCGAAAGUUACGCUAAUACCGCAUACGAUCUAAGGAUGAAAGUGGGGGAUCGCAAGACCUCAUGCUCGUGGAGCGGCCGAUAUCUGAUUAGCUAGUUGGUAGGGUAAAAGCCUACCAAGGCAUCGAUCAGUAGCUGGUCUGAGAGGACGACCAGCCACACUGGAACUGAGACACGGUCCAGACUCCUACGGGAGGCAGCAGUGGGGAAUUUUGGACAAUGGGCGAAAGCCUGAUCCAGCAAUGCCGCGUGAGUGAAGAAGGCCUUCGGGUUGUAAAGCUCUUUUGUCAGGGAAGAAACGGUGAAAGCUAAUAUCUUUUGCUAAUGACGGUACCUGAAGAAUAAGCACCGGCUAACUACGUGCCAGCAGCCGCGGUAAUACGUAGGGUGCAAGCGUUAAUCGGAAUUACUGGGCGUAAAGCGUGCGCAGGCGGUUUUGUAAGUCUGAUGUGAAAUCCCCGGGCUCAACCUGGGAAUUGCAUUGGAGACUGCAAGGCUAGAAUCUGGCAGAGGGGGGUAGAAUUCCACGUGUAGCAGUGAAAUGCGUAGAUAUGUGGAGGAACACCGAUGGCGAAGGCAGCCCCCUGGGUCAAGAUUGACGCUCAUGCACGAAAGCGUGGGGAGCAAACAGGAUUAGAUACCCUGGUAGUCCACGCCCUAAACGAUGUCUACUAGUUGUCGGGUCUUAAUUGACUUGGUAACGCAGCUAACGCGUGAAGUAGACCGCCUGGGGAGUACGGUCGCAAGAUUAAAACUCAAAGGAAUGACG
rnacentral:rRNA from 1 species